rnacentral:rRNA from 1 species
CGCGAUGGGGAGCGGGCUGAAGUCCGAUUAGCUAGUUGGGGGGGGAAAGGGCUACCAAGGGCUGGCAUUGGGUACCGGGUCUGAAAGGAUGAAUCCGCCCACACUGGGGACUGAGACACGGCCCCAAACUCCUACGGGAGGGCAGCAGUGGGGGAAUUUUUGGACAAUGGGGGGCAACCCCUGAUUCCAGCCAUGCCCGCGUGAGUGAAGAAGAGCCUUUCGGGUUUGUAAAGCUCUUUCGGCCGGGAAGAAAUCGGGUGGGGUGAAUAGCUCAUCUGGAUGACGGUACCGGAAGAAGAAGCACCGGCUAACUACGUGCCAGCAGCCGCGGUAAUACGUAGGGUGCGAGCGUUAAUCGGAAUUACUGGGCGUAAAGGGUGCGCAGGCGGCUGCUCAAGACAGCUGUGAAAUCCCCGGGCUCAACCUGGAAUUGCGGUUGUGACUGAGUGGCUGGAGUACGCAGAAGGGAGGUGGAAUUCCACGUUGUAGCAGUGAAAUGCGUAAAGAUUGUGGAGGAACCCCGAUUGGCGAAAGGCAGCCUCCUGGGCCAGUACUGACGCUCAUGCACGAAAGCGUGGGGGAGCAAACAGAUUAGAACCCUGUAGUCCACGCCCUAAACGA